rnacentral:rRNA from 1 species
GAUGAACGCUGGCGGCGUGCCUAAUACAUGCAAGUCGAGCGAACGGACGAGAAGCUUGCUUCUCUGAUGUUAGCGGCGGACGGGUGAGUAACACGUGGAUAACCUACCUAUAAGACUGGGAUAACUUCGGGAAACCGGAGCUAAUACCGGAUAAUAUUUUGAACCGCAUGGUUCAAAAGUGAAAGACGGUCUUGCUGUCACUUAUAGAUGGAUCCGCGCUGCAUUAGCGAGUUGGUAAGGUAACGGCUUACCAAGGCAACGAUGCAUAGCCGACCUGAGAGGGUGAUCGGCCACACUGGAACUGAGACACGGUCCAGACUCCUACGGGAGGCAGCAGUAGGGAAUCUUCCGCAAUGGGCGAAAGCCUGACGGAGCAACGCCGCGUGAGUGAUGAAGGUCUUCGGAUCGUAAAACUCUGUUAUUAGGGAAGAACAUAUGUGUAAGUAACUGUGCACAUCUUGACGGUACCUAAUCAGAAAGCCACGGCUAACUACGUG